rnacentral:rRNA from 1 species
AUGAAAUUUACUGUGGUGGACACUAGUUUUGGUCAAGGGGAAGAACCAUGUAAGGUAAGGUCACUAAGAAAUCUACCUACAGAUGCCGGUCAUGGCUACAGUUCUUCACCACAUUCUGGCGAUUCUGUCAGUGUGAACUCAGAAGAACAUUCAGAUUCAGAAGACAGUUCUGAACCUUAUGAAGAUCUGGAUACCAAUCAGAGGGAAACUGAUGCAAGCUGUGUUGACAAGGAGAGAAAAAACAAUCCCCCAACUGGUGAUAAGAUGGCUGCUGAUGUACUUCAUAAGAUUUCUUCCUUUCCAGGCAGAGUCAAUGGUCACGUUUCAGUUGAUCAAUGUGUUGGCACAAAGAAUAAUGUCUGCUCUUCGGCUGGAACAGUUCUUCCUGUUGGUAAUCAGAGGAUACAUGCUACUAAUUCUUCAACUGAAAUUAAUUUUCAGUUUGAUCCAAGAGUAAAUCCUGAACCUCAAGUUUUCUUAGCACCUAUGCCAAAGAGAAGAAGGUUAGUUUCUUUCAAGAAUGAAAGAACUGGUCGCAAAGGAACUGCUGUCAGUAAAAGGCAUUACGGGAAGCAAGCUGACACCCCAGUGCAACCUGUGCCUAAAGCAAAUGAAGCAAGUGCAGGGGCCAACCCUUUUGUAUGGAGCACAAUUUCAAGCUCAUCAACCAACAUAACCUUUGGCACUAAUAGCAAUCACACAUAUUGCGGACAGCUUCACAAUGUGCCCCCUAAUGUUGAAGUGGUUUACAAGGAAAAAGCUCAACGUAAGCAUGUUAUUGAUCUGAAUAUCCCUCAAAUGCCUUCUGAUUAUGAGUCGACUACAAGUUAUAUCCAAACUCCAUCUGACAAUAAUGCACUAAUCAUGGACAUACCUAUGCAUCCCUCAGAAACCAAGGAGGCGGAUGACUGCCUGCCAGAUAUCAAUACCUCUAGUAAUGCAAUCUUGAGCGAGCAGCUUUCUUUCAACUCGAGGAGGCAGAGUACCAGAAGCCGCCCACCAACAUCCCGAGCUCUGGAAGCUCUUGCAUGUGGCUUUAUGGGGAAGCAGAAAGGUGGGGAGGGAAAUUUCCCAUCUUCUAGCAGGAGCAGCAGACCUGUCCGACGACCACGAAGAUCAACUGAUGUUACAGUUCCAUUUCCUUCUGAUGGUGUCGGGAGUGCUUCUCAUUUUAGUGACCAAGCCAUCACUGUCAAUGAGUGGUGCAUGAGUAAUAAUCAGUUUCAAAUACUUCACAGCGCCCCCUCAAAUAACUCCAGUGAAAAAGGGACUCUUGAAUUGUUUGGGGCAGACAACUCUACUGAUAAAGGAACUCGUGAAAUUGUCUGGCAUUCUGUAGAUGGCAUGAAAACGAGUAAGGAGCUACAUGCGCAGCAAUUGCGUUGA